UACGAAGGGGGCGAGCGUUGUUCGGAAUUACUGGGCGUAAAGGGCGCGUAGGCGGCCGAUCAAGUCAGAUGUGAAAGUCCUGGGCUUAACCUGGGGACUGCAUUUGAUACUGAUUGGCUUGAAUUCGGGAGAGGAUAGCGGAAUUCCCAGUGUAGAGGUGAAAUUCGUAGAUAUUGGGAAGAACACCGGUGGCGAAGGCGGCUAUCUGGACGACAUUGACGCUGAUGCGCGAAAAGCGUGGGGAGCAAACAGG
rnacentral:rRNA from 1 species